AAAUUUAUUUACCGUUUAGUCAAUUUCACUUUCACUUUCCCUUUGACUAAAUUGAUUCUUGCCUAGCAAGUGGCACAAUUCAUAACAGGAGACAGAACCUGCUCUCAUGAGAAUGAAAAGAAUCUCCUUUACUAAAAAGCCACCAAAGAUUAGAUAGUUUAUGCCAGAAACAGACCACAGUACACUGGACUGGAAGAUUCAACAUCCAGUAAAAAGAGGAAAGUGGCAUUGAUUCAGUUUCAAUACACACUCCUGCUUUUUCCUUACAAGGGAUCUAUGUACUAAAAGAGUUGGUCUGUGUGCUCAAAAGAAAAGACAACGAUUGUGAUCAAGCUUUUUUCAGUCCUAUUUCUGAUGUUGAUAAGAAAGGGUGUAAUAAAGUAACAACAGAGAAGGUUUUAUAGCAAGCAGGUGCUGAAAGAACUUCAAAAGGUUAAUACUACAACUUUCUGGUGAUGUUGAAAGAAAUCCAGAACCUACAAUGGUUUAUCAAGACUUCUCAGUGCUUGCCAAACAAGUGUCAAAGAGUGAAUGGCAAGAAUGGCUUUAAAGAACGGAGAAGACGUGUUUUAUUGCACUUAGUUUUAAGCUUCUGUUUGAUAUUUUACCACUACGAUAGAGUUAUGUAAAUUUAUGUUAUGUAUUGUUCUAAUGUAUCAAUCUGUUUUGUAAUUACACUUUUUUAAAUAUGUUGUUAUUGUUUUUAUACCUUUUCCUACUAUUAAAGGUUUUUAUUAAGCCUUAGGUUACUUUGGUUUUUUAUUUCAUAGGAUUAAGAUGUCAUUCUUGAAAACCUUGUUAGUAUGAACUGUGUUUUUUUAUAUCUUAAUAUGUGUAGUAUUAAUCCAACCCGAUUAUAUUUAGUUAUGAAAAAAUAUAUACCAUAAGGACUGUCCAC